AUUGAACGCUGGCGGCAGGCCUAACACAUGCAAGUCGAACGAGUGGAGGACGGGUGAGUAAUGUCUGGGAAACUGCCCGAAGGAGGGGGGUAACUACUGGAAACGGUAGCUAAUACCGCAUACCAUCGGAUGUGCGCAGAUGGGCUUAGCUAGUAGGUGGGGUAACGGCUCACCUGGGCGACGAUCACUAGCUGGUGUGAGAGGAUGACCAGCCACACUGGAGCUGAGACCCGGUCCAGACUCCUACGGGAGGCAGCAGUGUGGAAUAUGGCACAAUGGGCGCAAGUCUGAUGCAGCCAUGCCGCGUGUAUGAAGAAGGCCUGCGGUUUGUAAAGUACUUUUAGCGAGUAGGCGUUACUCGCAGAAGAAGCACCGGCUAACUCCGUGCCAGCAGCAGCGGUAAUAC
rnacentral:rRNA from 1 species